rnacentral:rRNA from 1 species
CCUGGUGGCUCUGGCGAGGGGUGAACACCCGAUCCCAUCCCGAACUCGGCCGUGAAAACCCUCAGCGCCGAUGGUACUGCGUCUCAAGACGCGGGAGAGUAGGUCGUCGCCAGGC